GAUGAACGCUGGCGGCGUGCCUAAUACAUGCAAGUCGAGCGAACAGACGAGGAGCUUGCUCCUCUGACGUUAGCGGCGGACGGGUGAGUAACACGUGGAUAACCUACCUAUAAGACUGGGAUAACUUCGGGAAACCGGAGCUAAUACCGGAUAAUAUCUUGAACCGCAUGGUUCAAUAGUGAAAGACGGUUUUGCUGUCACUUAUAGAUGGAUCCGCGCCGCAUUAGCUAGUUGGUAAGGUAACGGCUUACCAAGGCAACGAUGGGUAGCCGACCUGAGGGGGUGAUCGGCCCCACUGGAACUGGGAGACGGUCCAGACUCCUACGGGAGGCAGAAGUAGGGAAGCUUCCGCAAUGGGCGAAAGCCUGACGGAGCAACGCCGCGUGAGUGAUGAAGGUCUUCGGAUCGUAAAACUCUGUUAUUAGGGAAGAACAAAUGUGUAAGUAACUAUGCACGUCUUGACGGUACCUAAUCAGAAAGCCACGGCUAACUACGUG
rnacentral:rRNA from 1 species